CCUCCAGCACCGGCGACCCUCCCCGUGGCUCCGUCGCCAUGAAGGCUCCUCCGACGCCAUUAAGAGUGAGGAGGACGAGGCCCAGCCAUGGAGAGUGGCCAGAGGAUCAAGGACGGCCAACCCCUGCCUCCUCUCCAGCACGUGUUGGGGAUUACGAGCCGCGUACAUGAAGAAGCAGGAGCAAAGCAAAUGCAGGAUUCCAUGGGUCGUUGUGGUGCCUGUUGGGCCUUUGUUGUUGUGGAGUGUCUGCAAGAUCGUCUAUGCAUUCCUCGCGGCAUGGACCGUUAGUAAGGUUGAUCAUCGGCAAGCGAAAGUGCUUUGUGGAUACUUGCACGACCAAGGAAGGAAUUUGUAUUUGAAGUAUGCACUAGGGAUAUUGCAAGUGUCAAUGCAAACUACCAGAGUCACAUGAGGCUCACAAUGAGCAGCAAUAUUAGCGCCACUCGGGUCCAGUGUUGCUAACUUGAUAUUUACCCUGUUUACCUGACACCAUCAGGUCUAAGGCAUUAGUAUUCUCUUCUUAUUGUACCUGGUAAUAAUUAGAGAACCAGCUUAGCUAACCAUAUGACAUAUUGGUCCUCCAAUGUUAAUAUGCCAAUGGGAAAUCUGAAAUGUUAGACCAUGAUGGUGCUUUAGAAUUUAGAGUAUAUAGAUAUCCAAUUGUUUUUAAGGAAUGUAGACAUCCAGUUCACCCAAAACUUUAUUGCAUACUAGCCUCUUGUGGUAGUUGCUUAGGUUACACUUUGAAAAUGUUGUGUCUUAUGGUCUUCAAUUUACAGUAUGUGUCCUUCUACUGUUUUUAUCUUGGUUGAUCACAGUGUAGGUCUGAUGUAGUGGCGACAACAACAGUGGAGGGGGCACAAGCAGGCCCACGUAUUUUCUGAAAAUCCAGUUAUAUUUGCUACCUUUCACAUCUUCUAUUGUACUAGCAUUGCUGGACAUAUUUAUCUUCGUAUGGUAAUCUCUGUUUUGUGCAGACUGAGAAGGUUUUCUUGGAGCUUCGAAUGUCUUUCUUUGCUAAAAGAAAGCCGACUAGGCCUACAUGUAAAGAUACAUCCAUUUCCGAGACAAGUAAUUCCGAACGGAGGGAGUAUUUAUUUGGGGCUUCUUCUUGUACCGUUGAGCAAGGCUACGCUGCUCGGCUAGGGAUUUUCCUCCAUGGUCGCCAAAUCAAAGGUUUCAGUCCCAGGUGAAUUUCUGCUGUGCCACAUUGAUGCCCUAGGUCUGGGCUCGUGUACUAGAUACAUUAUGAAAGGGCGAAUGUAGCAGGCACCAUUAUCUUUGAAUUCCAUCGAUGAUGUUGUGUUUGACGUGCUGGUCGGUUCGGUUAUUCAGGUAGGCUCCGUCGUAAGCGCCACCAUGUCAAAAAGCCAAGGAUUGAAACUAUGUGCAUUGUGCAGUGAAUCGAGCCUUUGUGAGAGGACCAAGACAGGAGGACCGUGUGUCCAGUAUGGUAUGUCCGUUGGACGCAUGUGCUUCUACACAAAGAAGUUAAAAAUAUCACCAUGCGAGCUUCAUCGACUCGAGCAAUUUUUUGGUACAACAAAGCCUGCCAUCAGGUACUGCAUAUGUGAAAUGACCAAGACUUUCACCGCUCCCGGCCAACGGAUGUAUUGUUUGGCCCCAUGCAUGAGGAGGUAUCUUGCAAGGUACCUUAAACAAUCAAUCGAGGACAUGCUGGUUCAGCUUUCAUGUGGAUGCGCUAAGGAGCGGGCCAGAAUUAUGAAGGGCGUCGAUGAAAGAGCGGUCAUAACAACCAAUUGGUCUGACUUUGUGACACCGGAAGAGCUUGCAAAACAGCAUCAGAUAUGUGCCUUUGCCUUCAAGGCUAAAAAAGGCAGACUGUUGCUCACUGUCCACCUGCUUGAGGUUCAUAUAUCAUGGCAUGUAAGGAGUCGGGCAAUAAGACGACCCAACGAAGCUAUAAAAUAUUAGGCUUUAGCAUAAUAACAUUGAUUUUUUAUCUCUCAUCGCCUGUGCCCGCUCUGUCUAUAUAAUGACUCAACUAUUGUAUCUGCUUUGGGGCAAUCCAUCAUGUUGGUUUUCUUUUGGAACAAAAAUGUACCUUGAUCUUGGAAUGGCUGGUUGCCUUGCUCUUUCGCAUUGCUUGGACGAAAUCCUCUGUACUGGGCAUAGUUAUCUUAUACUACACAGGCAAUACCAUACUUCUAAUGUAUUUUUGAUGCA